UACGUAGGGUGCGAGCGUUGUCCGGAAUUAUUGGGCGUAAAGAGCUCGUAGGCGGUGUGUCGCGUCGGCCGUGAAAACCUGGGGCUUAACUCUGGGCGUGCGGUCGAUACGGGCAUCACUAGAGUUCGGCAGGGGAGACUGGAAUUCCUGGUGUAGCGGUGAAAUGCGCAGAUAUCAGGAGGAACACCGGUGGCGAAGGCGGGUCUCUGGGCCGAUACUGACGCUGAGGUGCGAAAGCGUGGGGAGCAAACAGG
rnacentral:rRNA from 1 species